GUUUGACCUCAAAUCAGGUAGGAAUACCCGCUGAACUUAAGCAUAUCAAUAAGCGGAGGAAAAGAAACCAACAGGGAUUGCCUUAGUAGCGGCGAGUGAAGCGGCAAAAGCUCAAAUUUGAAAUCUGGCACCUUCGGUGUCCGAGUUGUAAUUUGAAGAUUGUAACCUUGGGGUUGGCUCUUGUCUAUGUUUCUUGGAACAGGACGUCACAGAGGGUGAGAAUCCCGUGCGAUGAGAUGCCCAAUCCUAUGUAUGUGCUUUCGAAGAGUCGAGUGUG
rnacentral:rRNA from 1 species